rnacentral:rRNA from 1 species
GGACUACUCGGGUUUCUAAUCCUGUUUGCUCCCCACGCUUUCGCGCCUCAGCGUCAGUAUCGGACCAGGUCGCCGCCUUCGCCACCGGUGUUCUUCCCAAUAUCUACGAAUUUCACCUCUACACUGGGAAUUCCACGACCCUCUUCCGAACUCAAGACAACGUGUAUCAAGCGCAGCCCCCAGGUUGAGCCCGGGAAUUUCACGCCUGACUGUGUCAUCCGCCUACGCGCCCUUUACGCCCAGUCAUUCCGAGCAACGCUAGCCCCCUUCGUAUUACCGCGGCGGCUGGCAC